CGUGCGGCUGCUUACCAUGCAGUCGAACGGCAGCAUGUCUUAUCUUCGGAUUUGAUGAUGGCGAGUGGCGGACGGGUGAGUAACACGUAGGUAUCUACCUGAAAGUGGGGGACAACCCGGGGAAACUCGGGCUAAUACCGCAUAUUCUCUACGGAGGAAAGCUGGGGACCGUAAGGCCUGGCGCUUUCAGAUGAGCCUGCGGCAGAUUAGCUAGUUGGUAGGGUAAAGGCCUACCAAGGCGACGAUCUGUAGCUGGUCUGAGAGGAUGAUCAGCCACACUGGGACUGAGACACGGCCCACACUCCUACGGGAGGCAGCAGUGGGGAAUUUUGGACAAUGGGCGAAAGCCUGAUCCAGCAAUACCGCGUGUGUGAUGAAGGCCUUCGGGUCGUAAAGCACUUUCAGUUGUGAAGAAAUGCACAUGGUUAAUAGCCAUGUGAGCUGACGUUAACAACAAAAGAAGCACCGGCUAACUCUGUGCCAGCAGCCGCGGUAAUACAGAGGGUGCAAGCGUUAAUCGGAAUUACUGGGCGUAAAGCGCGCGUAGGUGGGUAGUUAAGUUAUGUGUGAAAGCCCCGGGCUCAACCUGGGAAUUGCACGUAAGACUGGCUAUCUAGAGUAUAGUAGAGGGAAGUAGAAUUUCCGGUGUAGCGGUGAAAUGCAUAGAUAUCGGAAGGAAUACCAGUGGCGAAAGCGACUUCCUGGGCUAUUACUGACACUGAGGCGCGAAAGCGUGGGGAGCAACAGGAUUAGAUACCCUGGUAGUCCACGCCGUACACGAUGAGACUACGAGUACGGAUUUAUCUUUGUGCCGAAGCUU
rnacentral:rRNA from 1 species